CCUACGGGUGGCAGCAGUAGGGAAUAUUGCUCAAUGGGGGAGACCCUGAAGCAGCAAAGCCGCGUGGAGGAUGAAGGUUUUCGGAUUGUAAACUCCUUUUUUUAGAGAAGAUAAUGACGGUAUCUAACCAAUACGCACCGGCUGACUCCGGGACAGCAGCCGCGGUAAUUCGGCGGGUGCAAGCGUUACUCGGAAUCACUGGGUGUAAAGAGCGCGUAGGCGGGAUAGCAAGUCAGAUGUGAAAGCCUAGGGCUUAACCAUAGAAGUGCAGUUGAAACUGGUAUUCUAGAGUAUGGGAGAGGUAGGUGGAAUUCUUGGUGUAGGGGUAAAAUGCGUAGAGAUCAAGAAGAAUACUCAUUGCGAAGGCGACCUGCUAGAACAUAACUGACGCUGAUGCGCGAAAGCGUGGGGAGCAAACAGGAUUAGAUACCCGUGUAGUC
rnacentral:rRNA from 1 species